GCCGGGGUGGUGAAAUUGGCAGACGCGCUGGACUCAAAAUCCAGUGGGGGCAACCCCGUGCGGGUUCGAGUCCCGCCCCCGGCA
rnacentral:tRNA from 1 species